UAUAGACACAAAUCUUUUAUCUCUUCUUCUUCUUUACGCACAGUGGUCUCUCACUGUAACUUACAUCAACCACAAAAAGCUUCCAUUAUCUUCAUAGCAAACACUGCCAAACACAAUCACAAACUCCAUCUGUCUCUCCAUGUCUCCAAUGAAAAGUUUCCAUUCCCUUCGACCACGUUCAACACAACUCACGGUCUCUCCAUCACUUCAAGACCGAAUGAAAACCGAUAGUAGUACGGCGCUUACUUGCCGUUGAACCGCGCAAAAUCUCGUCAGCACCAAAGCCGUACGAUCCCAGACGCAAGACCGUACUAGUUCCGCGAACACUGUCGACCAUAAGAAUCCCGCCGCACCGACGAGCCUCCCUCCCUCAUCUUCCCAGACGAGCUCUUCUAUCAGCCACCACCACCCUCAGAUUUAUUAGUUAAGGCCUUGAACGAGAUCAAGGAUUCUCUGGGUUGGAGAGUUGUUUAUGCUUGGGUAGGAGAUGAUCCUUGUGGUGGUGGUGGUGAUCUUCCUCCUUGGUCUGGUGUUACAUGUUCUACUGAGCUAUUUGUGGUGUGGUGUUGGUAUAAUUGGAAUCGGUUUGUUGUUGAUUUGUACGGAGGUGUAUGCGGUGUCGGUUGUUGGGCCUUUUCCUACUUCUGUUACCAGCUUGUUGGAUCUUACAUGAUUUACAUUGAAACAUUUCCAGGAAGAUUAGGAACAAGGAACGGUUAUGUGUAAGAAGAAACUUUAUCUUGAGUUGGAUCAAGGUAGGCAAGUGUUCACGGUGGACCUUCUUGAACGACAUGCUACAAAGGGGCGUGGAGUUAUCACUUGUAUGGCUGCUGGAAACGAUGUCAUUGUUCUUGGAACUAGCAAAGGAUGGGUCAUUAGGCAUGAUUUUGGAGUUGGCGAUUCGUUUGAGUUUGAUCUGUCUGCAGGUCGUCUUGGGGACCUGUCAAUCCACCGGGUUUUUGUUGAUCCAGGGGGGGUGUCAUUGUAUUGCCACUAUCGUUGGUCAGGGUGGAGAUGAAACUUUCUAUACUCAUGCGAAAUGGACCAAGCCGCGAGUUUUGAGCAAGUUGAAAGGUCUUGUUGUGAAUGUUGUUGCAUGGAACAGGCAACAGAUAACUGAAGUUUCCACAAAGGAAUUCAUUCUCGGUACAGACAAUGGUCAACUUCAUGAAUUGGCUGUGGAUGAGAAAGACAAGAAGGAAAAAUAUAUUAAGUUUCUCUAUGAAUUGACAGAACUUCCAGAAGCUUUAAUGGGUUUACAGCUGCAGAAUCAGUAGACCAAGGAAAAAAAAACAUGUCAGCAACUAAAUGAUCUGGUUUAUCUUGUUCCAAAACCUGUUUGAGUGGCUCCCUUAGAAGCAAAGUGGAUUUCAUGAACUUGUCUGGUGCUAAUGCUUACUCGGAAUUUUCACAACCUUCGAGUAAGCCGGUUUCUUCGGGUGAAGGGAACUUGAUGGUUCUGAUGCUGAUUUUGGCUUUUCCAAUUGUUCUAGAAAUGAGAAGCACGUUGAGAUGGGUGGUUUCUAUGGUGAUUUUGAAUCCUCUUGAAGAUAAGACUCUUGCAAGGUCUAUACACGGUAUGAUGUGGCCGUUGGCUAGAAAGGGGAAGAAGAUUAUGUAAAGAUCUUGAUUCUGGUUAGCCAUGGUGAGUUUGUAAGUUCUAGUUAUUUGUAAUGAAAGGGAAAUGAAAUGAUAAAGAGUUUGUAAGUUCUGGUUAUUUGUAAUGAAAGGGAAAUGAAAUAAUAAAGAGUUUGUUAUAAUUCUGUUGUUUAUAUAGAGAUUAGUGUAGUUACACAGUUUUAAUGUCACGUUUUGCAUGGGCUGUUAAUAUAUUAUUAUUUUUAUAAA